GGGGGUGAAUCUGGUUUCGACCGGAAGCGUGAAUUCCAAGGCGCAUGUCGAGGUGCAGAGCCUCGCUAAAAAUCUGUUUAAAAAUAGUCGCAAACGACGAAACCUACGCUUUAGCAGCUUAAUAACCUGCUUGAAGCCCUCGGCGCGGAACCUUUCCAGUGACGUUACGCAAUGCCGGGGUCGGUUUUCACUGGAUCGUGCGGAAGCCCCGUCUGAGGCGGAAACAUUAAAGAACUCUUUCAGACUGGGCACAGUGUGGCGUGGCAUUCCGCAGCCUGUGUCGAGAUUAAAGACUGCCUAAACAUGUAGUGCUGAAGAUGAAGCCUUUUGGGACGAGAGUUCGAGUCUCUCCACCUCCACCA
rnacentral:tmRNA from 1 species